AUUUUCAGUCCUUUUUUCAGUUAAUUUACUAUGAUUCACCUUGUUUGUGCUCCCUACAGGUCAGUUUGAUAUUCCCGAAGGGGUCGUCUUUUCUAUGCCUGUGAAAUUUGAGAAUGGAACUUGGGAGGUUCUUACAGACCUCGAAGGCAUUUCGCUGAGUGAACAGAUAAUAAAGAGGCUCACAGAUGAUCUGAUUCAGGAGAAACUUGUUGCACUUGGAGACUUAUUAACUUUCCAGCCAGUUAAAGAAGAACAUAGAGAUAGCGUACAUUCCAAUGUAGGCCUGAAUGAAGAAAAAGAGCAAGUCGAGUUGUACGACUCUGAGGGAAAAACUGAGGAUGAAACAGCAAUUUAACCAGAUCAAAUACACAGGAGUUGAAUAAAUUAAGAACCCUGAGUGUCCCUGAAGAUCCCCAAACUCCUAGUGCAGUCUAGUCCCAUUUUUAUUGAUUAUUGCAUGCCCUCAAAAAUAAAUGUGCUAAUUGCUGUUUCAAAUACCUCAACAGAGUGCUAUCAAUCAUUGCAUCUUUGCCUGGACAUCACCUGUUUCCUUGCACCUAGCCAUCCUGGUACUCACUAUACAGACCAAGGGGCCUUAAAGUCACAGAAAUAUACCUGCUGCAUAUGCCUCCCAAGUACUGGGAUUAAUGGUGUAUACCACUAUGGUCAACUUCUACCUGGC
rnacentral:lncRNA from 1 species